CUUAAGAAAUAAUUUAAGAUCGGGCCUGCUCACUGAAUAUUAAAGAGCUGCGGUAUUUUGACCGUGCAAAGGUAGCAUAAUCAUUAGUUCUUUAAUUGGGAACUGGAAUGAAAGGUUUGAUGAAACAUUUACUGUCUUGGAUUAAAAAAUUGAAUUUAAUUUUUAAGUUAAAAAGCUUAAAUGAAUAAAAGGGACGAGAAGACCCUAUAGAUUUUGAUAUUAGAUUUAUUAGUCAGUAUUAAGGAUAAAGGUUAAAUUAAUAAAUUUAGUAUUUGGUUGGGGUGAUAUUAGAAUAAAUAAACUUCUAUUUUAGGAGAACAAAAAUGAUUGGAUUUGUGAUCCUAUAUUAAGGAUUAAAAGAUUAAAAUACCUUAGGGAUAACAGCGUAAUUUUGUUUGAGAGUUCAAAUCGAGAAUAAAGAUUGCGACCUCGAUGUUGGAUUAAGAAAAUUAAUUGGUGAAGAAGUUAAAAUAAUAAGUCUGUUC
rnacentral:rRNA from 1 species